UACGAAGGGGGCUAGCGUUGUUCGGAAUUACUGGGCGUAAAGCGCACGUAGGCGGGUUGUUAAGUCAGGGGUGAAAUCCUGGAGCUCAACUCCAGAACUGCCUUUGAUACUGGCAACCUAGAGACUGGAAGAGGUUAGUGGAAUUCCCAGUGUAGAGGUGAAAAUUCGUAGAUAUUGGGGAAGAACACCAGUGGCGAAGGCGGCUAACUGGUCCAGCACUGACGCUGAGGUGCGAAAGCGUGGGGAGCAAACAGG
rnacentral:rRNA from 1 species